UACGUAGGGGGCAAGCGUUGUCCGGAUUUAUUGGGCGUGAAGAGCGUGUAGGCGGCUUGGUAGGUCCGCUGUGAAAACUCGAGGCUCAACCUCGAGAUGUCGGCGGAAACCACUUGGCUAGAGUCCGGAAGAGGAGAGUGGAAUUCCCGGUGUAGCGGUGAAAUGCGCAGAUAUCGGGAAGAACACCUAUGGCGAAGGCAGCUCUCUGGGACGGUACUGACGCUGAGACGCGAAAGCGUGGGGAGCGAACAGG
rnacentral:rRNA from 1 species